rnacentral:rRNA from 1 species
GGCGGACGGGUGAGUAAUGCUUGGGAACUUGCCUUUGCGAGGGGGAUAACAGUUGGAAACGACUGCUAAUACCGCAUAAUGUCUUCGGACCAAACGGGGCUUAGGCUCCGGCGCAAAGAGAGGCCCAAGUGAGAUUAGCUAGUUGGUAGGGUAACGGCUUACCAAGGCGACGAUCUCUAGCUGUUCUGAGAGGAAGAUCAGCCACACUGGGACUGAGACACGGCCCAGACUCCUACGGGAGGCAGCAGUGGGGAAUAUUGCACAAUGGGGGAAACCCUGAUGCAGCCAUGCCGCGUGUGUGAAGAAGGCCUUCGGGUUGUAAAGCACUUUCAGUUGUGAGGAAAAGUUAGUAGUUAAUACCUGCUAGCCGUGACGUUAACAACAGAAGAAGCACCGGCUAACUCCGUGCCAGCAGCCGCGGUAAUACGGAGGGUGCGAGCGCUAAUCGGAAUUACUGGGCGUAAAGCGCAC